UUUUUUAAAAAAUUUGUAAUUUUAUCUUUGCUCCCCUUCAGGAACUAAAUAAACAUCCAGGAGGGAAAUAAAAACAAACCUUUUUUUGUUUCUGUAGCUUGGCGCGAAAGUCAGAUCUAAAAGUUCUCAGCCAAACCCUAACAGAACUUUCAAACACGAGGUACUUAAAGAUGGCAAUUAAACCUAGUUUAUGUCAUCUCCUAAAGAUUAUUUACACUUUGUGACAUUGUCGUUAAGGACGACAUAAUGGGAACAUUGAAAGUUCCAGAGAGAUAUUUUAUUUGUUUACUUGGCUGUGCACUUUGUUGAAUUGUUUUGUUUGCUUGACACGAUCUACUUUUUAAAUGACGUUUACAUCAAAACUUCUUUACGUCUGCUGCAUAGACAUGAAAUGAUUUGAUCUUUUGGAGUACACAAAAUAUUUUUAAAUGAAAGAGAUUUUAAGGUGCCAUUGAGGAUUGGGGGAGGGGGCGGGGGAAAGGAAAAAGCAAGAGAGAGAAAGAGAGGAGUUUUUAUCUUAAGAUAUGGGAUAAUUAGGUUUAGAUGUUAAUAUUCAUGUAUACAUUAGCCUACCUUCUGUUAUUAUCAUUUUUCUUAAGAUUUAAUAAAAUCUUGUUUUUUUUUGCAAUCUGUGUUGGGAUGCAGUUAGUUUUCAUUGCCUGUGCUAUAUAUUUGUUUUUAAACAAUUCUGUUUAAAUAUGUCUAGUGGACUGGUAGAUAGAGGCCAUGUUGACCUAGAUGUAUACACUUCCUAAAAUGUUCUAUUUUUAUCAGUUUCUGUCUUUGUGUACAUUUUCUUUUCUACUCCAUGUUUGUUGGUCAAAUAGAAUCACAAUUCAAGGGACACAAUCAAUGUUUUCCAAUAAUAAAAAUCUGUGAAUGGUAUUGUUUCCCC